CAUUAGACACUAGCAAAUAUGAACGUUCUUGGAGGAAAAGGUCUCCAAACUAAUGACAGUAGGUUAUAUCAUGGUUGCCUAUUUUUUUUUUAUAAAAUUCUGAUUUUAAAAAUACAAUAGGUUAGCCUUGUGUAUUUAAAAUGUGUAUCGCUCAGUUUUUAUGAUAAACAUUUGGCUUCAUUUCGUCUACGAUUUCAAACUAUAUUUAACCCAGAUACCCAUCUAAAUAAAAAAAUAUAAUAAAUUUAAAUUUUGUAUGAAUGCCACGUACAUAUAGUGUAAUUGCAUGACACGUAUUUGUAGUUUUAAAACGUGUGUAUGUCUCAUUUCAGGCACUCGGAUUGGAUAUCAGACAAGAUGUGACUGACACUGAUGAAGAUUAUGCCCCAGCGCUUGACUCAGUAGAUUUGGAAAGCUCACCCUUUUUUCCUGAUCCGUCUCUUCCCAGGGGAGAUCCAAAGAAAUCACCAGAAAUAUCCCGUACCAUUAAUAAAAUUCGACGUGCAAAUAAAUGCCCAGAAGUGCUUCCAGCGGAGCUUUAUCCAGUGACCACUCCACAAUCAGAAGAAUAUAGUGAUAUUGAAGAAGAUGCUCCACAUUAUGAACGCCAAGCAAGCCCGUUGUUCUUUCAGAGUAGACCUUCGAAAAGCAAAAAAGCAGAAACAGGCUCUUUCUCUGCGAAACGAGAGAAGAACAAUACUAAUAUGAAAAAUGUGAGAUAUCUGCUAGAAACACCAGCUGCAGAAGACCUUUUAUCGAUGGAUUAUGACAGCGAUGCUGUUCUUGAAGCUAUUUCAAGCUACACACAAGCCACCGGAAAUGUGGAAUUUGACGUGAAUGAUUUAAUAGGCAUUAUAGCUGGAGAAGACCCUAAGCCGAGGAGAGCAGCAGUUCACAAUGACUAAAGAAGAUAGGAGAGAUUCGUAUUGAUUGCAAACCUUUUGAAUCUUGUAAUAGCGAUACAGCAAGUAUAUUUGACGUCUCAGUUUGCAUUCGUAAAUUACAACAUUAUGUAUUUUUACGAUGACCUUAGUCUGAUUUAAUGCAAUCAUGUCAUUAGAGAUAUCUUUAUGAGUAUACCGGUUGCGGCAUUUCCUAUAUUUUCCUGUAGACACCUAUAUGUGCAUGUAAACUAACCGUGUUGAUUUUAAAAUGAACUCAGAUUGUAUAUUCAUUUACGCUGUAAUUAUUCCAUUUGAAUUUUACUAGUAUUAUAAUCAGAUGUGAUCUUCCAAAUUGACACGGGGUUUGUUUUUGACAAAUGACAUUCCAUAUACAUAAGACUGGCAAUCAAUAUAUUAUCGCUAAGGAAUGAAUUCCUCUAUCAACAAUAAUUAUACAAUUUAAUUUUAACCAUAAUUUGUGACGGAAGAAGCUUUCUUAAUUGCUAGACUUUUGUUGAUACAUUCUUCAAGAGAAUCACUGUAAUGGUAUUGCUUGUACUGAAAGACUGCAUUAAGAGGGCUUUAAUUGUGAAUGAUGACUCCAAUGGUGAGUGAUGACUCCAAUGGUGAAUGGCAACUCCAAUGGUGAAG